rnacentral:rRNA from 1 species
UACGUAGGGGGCAAGCGUUGUCCGGAAUCAUUGGGCGUAAAGCGCGCGUAGGCGGCCCGGUAAGUCCGCUCUGAAAGUCCAGGGCCCAACCCUGGAAAGCGGGUGGAUACUGCCGGGCUAGAAUCCGGAAGAGGCGAGUGGAAUUCCUGGUGUAGCGGUGGAAUGCGCAGAUAUCGGGAGGAACACCAGUGGCGAAGGCGGCUUUCUGGGCCUUACCUGACGCUGAGACGCGAAAGCGUGGGGAGCGAACCGG